rnacentral:rRNA from 1 species
AGAGUUUGAUCAUGGCUCAGAAUCAACGCUGGCGGCGUGCCUCAGACAUGCAAGUCGAACGCGAAAGUCCCCUUCGGGGGACAAGUAGAGUGGCGUCCGGGUGAGUAACACGUAGGUAAUCUACCUUCGGGUGGGGAAUAACGCAGGGAAACUUGCGCUAAUACCGCAUAAUGCAGCGGCACCACAUGGUGACAGCUGUUAAAGCGGGGGAUUUUCGAACCUCGCGCCUGAAGAGGAGCCUGCGGCAGAUUAGCUAGUUGGUAAGGUAAUGGCUUACCAAGGCGACGAUCUGUAACCGGCCUGAGAGGGCGGUCGGUCACACUGACACUGACAUACGGGUCAGACUCCUACGGGAGGCAGCAGUCGGGAAUUUUGGGCAAUGGGCGAAAGCCUGACCCAGCAACGCCGCGUGAAGGAUGAAAUCCUUCGGGAUGUAAACUUCGCAAGAAUGGGAAGAAUUAGCGAGUACUAAUACUGCUCGUGAUGACGGUACCAUUUGUAAGCUCCGGCUAACUCCGUGCCAGCAGCCGCGGUAAUACGGGGGGAGCAAGCGUUGUUCGGAUUUACUGGGCGUAAAGGGCGCGUAGGCGGCCAGCACAAGUCAGUUGUGAAAUCUCCGGGCUUAACUCGGAAAGGUCAACUGAUACUGUGCGGCUAGAGUGCAGAAGGGGCAACUGGAAUUCUCGGUGUAGCGGUGAAAUGCGUAGAUAUCGAGAGGAACACCUGCGGCGAAGGCGGGUUGCUGGGCUGACACUGNNNCUGAUGCGCGAAAGCCAGGNNNNCGAACGGGAUUAGAUACCCCAGUAGUCC